UGGACAACGCUAGCCCGCACUUCCUGGAGCCUACCAAUCAGGGGGCUCAUCCGGCCUCCCGACAAAUUGGGGGCGGCCCUUAAACCCGAGCCGCAUCCUGCGGCCUCACUAUUGGCCGCCGGCCAUCGCCUUGUCAGCUGAUUGGACACAGCGGGUGUCCGUCAGGGUCACGCCGGGCACGCAGAGGCGGAACGCGUACGGAAGACGACUUCCCUCCGGGGCGCAGACGGGCCUGCCGGGAGACUCCGGGGUGGCCGCCUGUCUCCCGAGGGCGGACGGGCUCCGAGGAUCGCCGGGAAGGAGGCACUUCCAGGCGAAGGUUCCGGUUCCGGUUCCGGUUCCGUUGCCGUGGCAACGCGCUACGCGGUGCUGUUGCCACGGUGAUGAUGACUGUGCCCAGUGUCGUUAUCUAUCGACCAACAGUAAGAGAAGCUCUGCAGUCAGGAUAUUGUUCAACAGACGGAGUGCUUUCUGUUGGACACUAAGCGCUGCUACAAAUUCAUGGAUUCAAGGUAAAUCCGAGCAACAAGCACCAUGAGCACAAAUAAUAUAGGAAAUGGGGGUGCUGAAGUCCAGGUGUUGUUGCAGAAGAGCAGCAUCUGGUGUACUUACCGUAGAGAAUAUAUGAUUUCCCAAACCGCCCAACUUUUCCUCGAGAGACGAGCUCGCAAGACUUAGAUUCCGAAGAGGCGGAGACGUGCGACAGUGAGUAACCGUGGCUUGGAAGCAGAGUCGGCUUUCUUGGUUGUCAGACAUUUUAUUAAACUGAGAACAGAGCUGUGGUUAAAGAUUACGAGUAACCCUGACCAGAGAGAAUACAGAGCCUGUUUUUUCGAACUUACAGUAAGUAGAGUUGCUGCAUGCAGUAGAGUGUAAGAACAUAGGUGACACCUCAGGAUAUGGGAAAGCACGUCGCUGCUCUUUCAGGACACGCAGUAGGACGGCUUUGAUAGCAUGAUCAAGGGCAGGAAGACAAAUCAGGUAGCUAGGCCAAGGAAAUUAAAACAGUGGGUCUCAAUUUUAAGCUUUUAAUAAAGUAACCAAAAAUAUAAAACCUUA